rnacentral:lncRNA from 1 species
CUCCCGGGAAGUUCAAACUCAGGAGCUUACAUUUGGUAUUGGAGCGGGUCUUGGGUCCGACUCUGUUGGUUGGCUAGGGGAAUCACACCACAUGUUGAUUGACAUCUGGCUGGUCCAGUUUGCUCCUGUUGGGCUCGACCCGAGGGGUAGGGUGUCAAGCGGCUCUCAACUUCCGUUCACGAGGGCGUGAACUUGUAGGGAAGCGUGGUGGAUUGUAAGCAACCAAAGAGAACGACUCGAGAGACGGUCCAUGGGGUUCAAAUAUAG